rnacentral:rRNA from 1 species
CGAGUAAGAUCCCUCGAAGAUGACGAGGUUGAUAGGUCCGAGGUGGAAGCGUGGCGACACGUGGAGCUGACGGAUACUAAUCGAUCGAGGACUUAACCA